rnacentral:rRNA from 1 species
UACGAAGGGGGCUAGCGUUGCUCGGAAUCACUGGGCGUAAAGCGCACGUAGGCGGCUUCUUAAGUCAGGGGUGAAAUCCUGGAGCUCAACUCCAGAACUGCCCUUGAUACUGAGGAGCUCGAGUCCGGAAGAGGUGAGUGGAACUCCGAGUGUAGAGGUGAAAUUCGUAGAUAUUCGGAAGAACACCAGUGGCGAAGGCGGCUCACUGGUCCGGUACUGACGCUGAGGCGCGAAAGCGUGGGGAGCAAACAGG